AUGUUGAACGUUGACAAUACUCUGAUAUUUCAUCUUCGAAUUGGUCUGUUUUUUAGGCAGAUUCAAACUAUUAUUUUCCAAAUUUCUAAAGGUGAAAGUAUUAUGACCUUGGCCAUGUUUGUAGAAAUAAAUUUGGGAAUAUUGUUUAAAUAUGGCACUGCAAUAAAUGGUAUUGGGUUAACAGUUAGUACAAUACAUUCAGUUUGGGCUGAAUGCCAGAAUGUUACCGAGACAUCGAGACUUGAAGAAUCUGACUCUACUUUUAACAUUUCUUUGGGAUGCAGAGAGGAGCUUACAGACCUUAAUAAACAAGAACGUGGUAUUAUGUGA
rnacentral:rRNA from 1 species